AACGGCGAGUGAAGCGGUAACAGCUCAAAUUUGAAAUCUGGCCUCACGGUCCGAGUUGUAAUUUGUAGAGGAUGCUUCGAGCAUGGUCUGGCCUAAGUUCCUUGGAACAGGACGUCAUAGAGGGUGAGAAUCCCGUAUGCGGCCAGGUGCCUACGCUCAUGUGAAGCUCCUUCGACGAGUCGAGUUGUUUGGGAAUGCAGCUCAAAAUGGGUGGUAAAUUUCAUCUAAAGCUAAAUAUUGGCCAGAGACCGAUAGCGCACAAGUAGAGUGAUCGAAAGAUGAAAAGCACUUUGGAAAGAGAGUUAAACAGUACGUGAAAUUGUUGAAAGGGAAGCGCUUGCAACCAGACUUGCGCGCGGCCGAUCAUCCGGUGUUCUCACCGGUGCACUCGGCCGUGCUCAGGCCAGCAUCGGUUUUGGCGGCUGGAUAAAGGCCCUAGGAAUGUAGCUCCUCUCGGGGAGUGUUAUAGCCUAGGGUGCAAUGCAGCCUGCUGGGACCGAGGACCGCGCUUCGGCUAGGAUGCUGGCGUAAUGGUUGUAAGCGGCCCGUCUUGAAACACGGACCAAGGAGUCUAACAUCUAUGCGAGUGUUUGGGUGUCAAACCCAUACGCGUAAUGAAAGUGAACGGAGGUGAGAACCCUUAAGGGUGCAUCAUCGACCGGUCCUGAAGUUUACGGAAGGAUCUGAGUAAGAGCAUAGCUGUUGGGACCCGAAAGAUGGUGAACUAUGCCUGAAUAGGGUGAAGCCAGAGGAAACUCUGGUGGAGGCUCGCAGCGGUUCUGACGUGCAAAUCGAUCGUCAAAUUU
rnacentral:rRNA from 2 species